GCUGACGGCAUCACGGCAUUUUGUUUAUGUUUGAUUGUUUGAAAAGUUAUUAGGUGCAUUAAGUUUACUGAUUUUAUCCUACAUAGCUUCUUAAGCAGCAAACAAGAAAUGACGAAGAAGAGAUGGGCCAACAUUGAACAAAGCAAAAUAGAGAAAUCAGUUGCUUCAUGGCUGGCACAGACACAAUUAAAAUCAAAGACUUAGAAAGGGGCAGGGUGUCAAAGAGCACCUGAAGAACAGGAAGAUGAGGAUCAUGAAGCCGCCGACGCUUGAAUGAUGUGUAAAUAAUGUAUUGUCAGGGUGUCUAC